rnacentral:rRNA from 1 species
AGUGGGUGUAACGUACCUACUAGCCGACGACGGGUACGGGUUGUGAGAGCAAGAGCCCGGAGAUGGAUUCUGAGACAUGAAUCCAGGCCCUACGGGGCGCAGCAGGCGCGAAAACUUUACAAUGCGGGAAACCGCGAUAAGGGGACACUGAGUGCCAGCAUACAAUGUUGGCUGUCCGCAUGUAUAAAUAGCAUGUGUUAGCAAGGGCCGGGCAAGACCGGUGCCAGCCGCCGCGGUAACACCGGCGGCCCGAGUGGUGGCCACUAUUAUUGGGUCUAAAGGGUCCGUAGCCGGUUUGAUCAGUCUUCCGGGAAAUCUGACAGCUCAACUGUUAGGCUUCCGGGGGAUACUGUCAGACUUGGGACCGGGAGAGGUAAGAGGUACUACAGGGGUAGGAGUGAAAUCUUGUAAUCCUUGUGGGACCACCAGUGGCGAAGGCGUCUUACCAGAACGGGUCCGACGGUGAGGGACGAAAGCUGGGGGCACGAACCGGAUUAGAU